GUGCGCUCUCAGCCCGCUCUCCUGGACCGGACACCGCUGUGCGUGAGGCCCCGCGCCUGGGGCCGGCGACGGGCGGGGACGUACGCUGAGGAAAUGUGCGGGGAGGGGAGGGGGACGCCCUCUGGCCGCCCGCUCCCGGGUCCGGCGAGGCCACGGCUUCCGCCCCUGCCUGCCAGGCCUCGCUCGUAGGGUGUCCGCAGUCCGUUUUGUGCCCGUUUUUCCCUACGCCCUUCUCCCCCGGCUGCAGUGAAGUCGUCAGUGCCCGGCUGGCUGCCUCCAGGCGCCGUGGCCCCACCGGUGCCGGGGUCCCAGACGUGACCGCCUCCGCCCUCGCAGCUGGCCUUCGGGCUGCGCCCCCCGCCCCUUGUUAGGAUCACCGCCAGUUUCUGCUUGGGAGCUUUGACGUCCGCAGUUGGUGCCGCUUCCCCGUACUUGCUCCUGUCAGCUGACGGGAGCCGUAGGUCCUCCCCCCGCAGUCAUCGCGGCAUCCGUCCCUCCUUACCCGCCGCCUGCACCCGCUCUCGUCCUCGCCCUCGGCGGGCAAGGGCAGGACUUCCCGGCCCUACAGCCCCCUUCGGCUGUGGCCCGAGCAGUGGAAAUAGAUGCAGUUGGCAGUUGGCAGAUGCAAAGGGAAACACUUGACGGUGAGUCAGAAUGAAGGUGAGCACCCCACGGGGUCGGGAACAUCGGCCCAACAGCGUGCGCGGGAGGUCACAGGCCCCGGCUGCGCGCUGCUCGGCUCCACAUGCCCCUCGGUGACACGUGUGCCUUCAGAGCUUCUCUGAAAGACGUCUGACAAGUUCCCCGUGACUAGGCCCUCAUGGGCUGGACACGACCUGAAAGUACAUUAUUUCUCUGUAGUGAACAUUACUUCCCCCACUCUUUUGGCAUUUCACUUUAAUUUGCUCAUUUUUGUAAACUGUCACACAAAGUUUAGUCAUUUAUUUAACAUGUGGUUUCUGUUCAGAUCGAACUCUAGGAAAAAAACCCAGAUCUAAAGACUUUUUAGGACUUGUGACCUUGCUUGGUUUUUUUAUCGCUCCAUAUGCAUCUACCAUUUCCAGCAUAUUUCUAGGCUAACUGUUUGGGGGAAUGGAGAGAAGUGACAAAAUGUGGAACACAAUCUCGGGACCUCGUCGAAGAGUCAAGCAGAAGAUGGUCAUGUUGUGGCAUGCGCGUGAUGGACGACAGAACGCGGGAACCCCAUGCAGUGCAGGGAAAGAUGCUCCUAGCGGGACACCUAAGUGUAGACCGGCUUCCGGAUGAGAACUCAGAGCAAAGCCGACUCACACAGCUCUGUCCCACCCUCUGUUCCCAGACCGCCCCCCAGACCUGCUGUGUCACCUCAUCCCUGCCGUGUUUGGAAUGUGAG